UGGGGAAUCUUGGACAAUGGGCGCAAGCCUGAUCCAGCCAUGCCGCGUGGAUGAUGAAGGCCUUAGGGUUGUAAAAUCCUUUCGCCGAGGACGAUAAUGACGGUACUCGGAGAAGAAGCUCCGGCUAACUUCGUGCCAGCAGCCGCGGUAAUACGAAGGGGGCUAGCGUUGUUCGGAAUUACUGGGCGUAAAGCGCACGUAGGCGGAUUUGUUAGUCAGGGGUGAAAUCCCGGGGCUCAACCUCGGAACUGCCUUUGAUACUGCAAGUCUCGAGUCCGAUAGAGGUGAGUGGAAUUCCUAGUGUAGAGGUGAAAUUCGUAGAUAUUAGGAAGAACACCAGUGGCGAAGGCGGCUCACUGGAUCGGUACUGACGCUGAGGUGCGAAAGCGUGGGGAGCAAACAGGAUUAGAUACCCAUGUAGUCCCUGAGCGGGCUGGCAAGGCGCAU
rnacentral:rRNA from 1 species